AUUGAACGCUGGCGGCAGGCCUAACACAUGCAAGUCGAACGAGUGGCGGACGGGUGAGUCAUGUCUGGGAAACUGCCCGAUGGAGGGGGAUAACUACUGGAAACGGUAGCUAAUACCGCAUACCAUCGGAUGUGCCAAGAUGGGCUGAGCUAGUAGGUGGGGUAACGGCUCACCUAGGCGACGAUCCCUAGCUGGUCUGGGAGGAUGACCAGCCACACUGGAACUGAGACACGGUCCAGACUCCUACGGGAGGCAGCAGUGGGGAAGAUUGCACAAUGGGCGCAAGCCUGAUGCAGCCAUGGCGCGUGUAUGAAGAAGGCCUUCGGGUUGUAAAGUACUUUCAGCGGGGAGGCGUUACCCGCAGAAGAAGCACCGGCUAACUCCGUGCCAGCAGCCGCGGUAAUAC
rnacentral:rRNA from 1 species